rnacentral:rRNA from 1 species
UACGAAGGGGGCUAGCGUUGCUCGGAAUCACUGGGCGUAAAGGGUGCGUAGGCGGGUCUUUAAGUCAGGGGUGAAAUCCUGGAGCUCAACUCCAGAACUGCCUUUGAUACUGAAGAUCUUGAGUCCGGGGAGAGGUGAGUGGAACUGCGAGUGUAGAGGUGAAAUCGUAGAUAUUCGCAAGAACACCAGUGGCGAAGGCGGCUCACUGGCCCGAUACUGACGCUGAGGCACGAAAGCGUGGGGAGCAAACAGGGAUU